rnacentral:rRNA from 1 species
UACGGGGGGUGUAAGCGUUGUUCGGAAUUACUGGGCGUAAAGGGCUCGUAGGCGGCCAACUAAGUCAGACGUGAAAUCCCUCAGCUUAACUGGGGAACUGCGUGUGAUACUGGAUGGCUUGGAUUUGGGAGAGGGAUGCGGAAUUCCAGGUGUAGCGGUGGAAUGCGCAGAUAUCAGGAGGAACACCAAUAGCGAAGGCAGCUCGCUGGGACGGUACUGACGCUAAGGCGCGAAAGCGUGGGGAGCGAACAGG